CGGGCGAUACGGGGUGGCUUGAAGUGUUGUGGGGGGGGCUGGAAUUUCUUGUGGUGGCGGGGAAAAGGGCAGGAAUCCGGGGGGAACACCAAUGGCGAAGGCCAGGUCUCUGGGCAGUGAAUGACGGUGGGGAGCGAAAGCAUGGGUAGCCAACAGGAUUAGAUACCUGGGUAGUCCAUGCCGUAAACGGUGGGCGCUAGGUGUGGGGACCUUCCACGGUUUCUGCGCCGUAGCUAACGCAUUAAGCGCCCCGCCUGGGGAGUACGGCCGCAAGGCUAAAACUCAAAGGAAUUGACGGGGGCCCGCACAAGCGGCGGAGCAUGUGGAUUAAUUCGAUGCAACGCGAAGAACCUUACCUGGGCUUGACAUACACCGGACCGGGCCAGAGAUGGCUCUUCCCUUGUGGCCGGUGUACAGGUGGUGCAUGGUUGUCGUCAGCUCGUGUCGUGAGAUGUUGGGUUAAGUCCCGUAACGAGCGCAACCCUUGUCUUAUGUUGCCAGCACGUUGUGGUGGGGACUCAUGAGAGACUGCCGGGGUUAACUCGGAGGAAGGUGGGGAUGACGUCAAAUCAUCAUGCCCCUUAUGUCCAGGGCUUCACACAUGCUACAAUGGUCGGUACAACAGGUCGCGAAGCCGUGAGGUGGAGCUAAUCCUCUAAAGCCGGCCUUAGUUCGGAUUGGGGUCUGCAACUCGACCCCAUGAAGUCGGAGUCGCUAGUAAUCGUAGAUCAGCAACGCUGCGGUGAAUACGUUCCCGGGCCUUGCACACACCGCCCGUCAAG
rnacentral:rRNA from 1 species